rnacentral:rRNA from 1 species
GACGAACGCUGGCGGCGUGCUUAACACAUGCAAGUCGAACGGGAGUAUCGAAGAAGCUUGCUUUUAAGAUACUUUAGUGGCGGACGGGUGAGUAACGCGUGAGGAGCUGUCCUAUGCAGGGGGACAACAGUUGGAAACGACUGCUAAUACCCCAUAAGCCGAGAGGUAAAAGGAUUUAUCCGGCAGAGGAGGUACUCGCGUCCUAUCAGCUAGGAGGUGAGGUAACGGCUCACCUAGGCGAAGACGGGUAGCCGGCCUGAGAGGGCGAACGGCCACACUGGGACUGAGAUACGGUCCAGACUCCUACGGGAGGCAGCAGUGGGGAAUAUUGGGCAAUGGGGAAAACCCUGACCCAGCGACGCCGCGUGGGUGAAGAAAUCCUUCGGGAUGUAAAGCCCUGUUGUAUGGGAAGAGCAGAAGACGGUACCAUACGAGGAAGCCCCGGCAAACUACGUGCCAGCCGCCGCCGUAA